GACGAACGCUGGCGGCGUGCUUAACACAUGCAAGUCGAACGGUGAAGCGCUUGCCUUUUUGGUGGGUGUGGAUGAGUGGCGAACGGGUGAGUAACACGUGAGUAACCUGCCCUCUUCUUCUGGAUAACCUCAUGAAAGUGGGGCUAAUACGGGGUAUUCCGGGUCUGUCGCAUGGCGGGUUUGGGAAAGAUUGCGCCUUUGGGUGUUUUCGGUGGGGGAUGGGCUCGCGGCCUAUCAGCUUGUUGGUGGGGUGAUGGCCUACCAAGGCGGUGACGGGUAGCCGGCCUGAGGGGGUGGACGGCCAAACUGGGACUGAGACACGGCCCAGACUCGUGCGGGAGGCAGCAGUGGGGAAGAUUGCACAAUGGGCGCAAGCCUGAUGCAGCGACGCCGCGUGAGGGAUGGAGGCCUUCGGGUUGUGAACCUCUUUCGCCAGUGAAGCAGGCCUGCUCCUGUGUGGGUGGGUUGACGGUAGCUGGAUAAGAAGCGCCGGCUAACUACGUG
rnacentral:rRNA from 1 species